UACGUAGGGGGCAAGCGUUGUCCGGAUUUAUUGGGCGUAAAGAGCGUGUAGGCGGCUUUACAGGUCCGUUGUGAAAACUCGAGGCUCAACCUCGAGACGCCGGUGGAAACCGUAAAGCUAGAGUCCGGAAGAGGAGAGUGGAAUUCCUGGUGUAGCGGUGAAAUGCGCAGAUAUCAGGAAGAACACCCGUGGCGAAGGCGGCUCUCUGGGACGGUACUGACGCUGAGGCGCGAAAGCGUGGGGAGCGAACAGG
rnacentral:rRNA from 1 species